UCUGGCUAUGGUUCGCCUAGGAUUGGUGCAAGGUCCCCAGGAGGCACUUUAUCUUCUAGGCAAAAUUUAGGUGGUGCAUCCAACUACCUAGGUUACAAUGGAGUUGGAAGUCCGACUGGAGCAGCUUCUCUUCAGAUGCCUAUCGAUCCGUUAUAUGUUCAAUACCUUGCUGCCCAAGUUGCAGCCAGUUAUGACGAUCCUUUCAUGGCCAGUGGACAUCUAGGAAGUUCUUACAUGGAUUUACUUGGACCUCAGAAGGGUUGCCUUAGCCCACUGCUUCAGUCACAGAAGAACUAUGGCUGCUAUGGAAAUCCUGGAUUUGGCCUUGGUUAUGGCGGUAGUCCUUUGACGAGUCCUGUUCUGCCCUCUUCGCCUGUUGCAUCUGGUAGCCCACUUAGGCACGGUGAGCGCAGCAUGCGCUUUGCAUCAGGCAUGAGAAAUUUUGGUGGUUCUUUUGGUUCGUGGAAUCCGGACCUGGUUGGGAAGAUGGAAGGCAAUCUGAUGCCAUCACUUCUGGAGGAAUUCAAGAGCAACAAGAGCAGAACUUAUGAGCUCUCUGAAAUAGCUGGGCAUGUCGUUGAGUUCAGUGCGGAUCAAUAUGGGAGCCGAUUCAUACAGCAAAAGCUCGAAACAGCCAGCACUGAAGAGAAAGACAUGGUUUUUUCAGAAAUCAUGCCUCAAGCUCUCACAUUGAUGACUGAUGUAUUUGGAAAUUAUGUUGUUCAAAAGUUUUUUGAGCAUGGAAGCACUACUCAGAUAAAGGAACUGUCUGAUCAGCUUAUUGGGCGUGUCCUUGCUCUCAGUCUUCAGAUGUAUGGAUGCCGGGUUAUACAAAAGGCUAUAGAGGUCGUGGAUUUAGCUCAGCAGACUAAAAUGGUUGCUGAGCUGGAUGGACAUAUCAUGCGCUGUGUACGUGAUCAAAAUGGUAAUCAUGUAAUCAAGAAAUGCAUAGAGUGCAUCCCUCAAGACGUUAUCCAGUUCAUUGUCUCAACUUUCUAUGGUCAAGUUGUGCUGCUAUCAACUCAUCCCUAUGGUUGUCGGGUUAUACAGAGGGUGCUGGAGCACUGUGAUGAUCCCACAACACAGCAGAUAAUGAUGGAUGAGAUUCUCCAGUCUGUUUGCUUGCUAGCUCAAGAUCAGUAUGGUAACUAUGUUGUUCAGCAUGUUCUGGAAAAUGGCAAGCCACAUGAGAGUACUGCUAUCAUUGACAAGUUAAUUGGGCAAAUUACACAAAUGAGCCAGCAAAAGUUUGCUUUGAAUGUCAUUGAGAAGUGCUUAGCUUUUGGUAACCCUGUAGAGCGGCAGAUCUUGAUUGGUGAAAUGCUUGGGUCUACUAUUGAAAGUGAACCUCUUGAGGUGAUGAUGAAAGAUCAGUUUGCAAACUAUGUGGUGCAGAAGGUGUUGGAGACUUGUGAUGACCAGCAGAGAGAGAUGAUCCUUACAAGGAUCAAAGCUCACCUGAACACACUGAAGAAGUACACCUAUGGGAAGCACAUAGUCAUGCGUGUAGAGAAGCUAGUUGCUGCUGGAGAGAAGCGCCAGGGGCUUCAACCAGCAUGCACCGCCGCCUGA
rnacentral:rRNA from 1 species